UUCCUUCUUCAUCUCUUAGGCCUUCCAGGCCUUCUAACAUAUAUAGGAGGUGAGACUGUAGGGGCAUCAACUUUCUCCCAGCUGGUCAUAUCUUUGCAUGGCAUGAUGUUUCUACUAUAAGCUCUAUUGAAUGAGUCAAUUGUGUAGCAUUGAUUCACACAUGCCUCUGGUGGUAUCCUCUCAUGCCUUAAGCAACUAAUUGCAUGCUGGCAUGGAAUUCCACUUAAAUUGCACUUUCUACAAUCACAGGUCUUAGCUGCGAGGUCUACUAUAUGAUGGUAUCUCUAUCCAUGACUUGGAAAACUUCACUUCAAGAAGGUAACACAUAGCACACAUUCGCUAGAUCUACAAAUUUAGAUACUUUCUUCCUAAUCUUUGAACAAAUUGUGCCUACAAAGUCUUUAAGUUCAUUCUAUUUGUUGUAGAAUCUAGUCAUGAGUUUUUGUUUUAUUCUCUCCAACAUGCUCAAGAUAGGUAAUUCUCUAAUAUCAAUAAUAUAUUUUUUGAAAACCUCACAACUGUUAUUCAAAAGGACAUUAGACAUGGGAAACUCUACAAAGUAGGCUCUUACCCUAUUGUUAGGUGUCAAUUUUCAAGCCAAGCAUGAGCAGCAGGGUUGAGUUCCUUCAUCUUAUCCGUUUCUUGUUUCCACAUCAAUUCAGUGCUAGCCCUGGCACAAGUCCAUACUAGUUCUUAAGUAACUACCCUUGAAUCAUGCAUCCUUAAAGUUUGACCACAAAUAUCUAACAUAGAAUUUGUGCUCAGAUUUUGGGAAUACCUCCUCAGUUGCAGGAAUCAGCCUCUAUUAACAAUAAAUAAAAAAAUAUUUACAACCUUCUAAUAAAUGUGACAUGCAUGAAAUUUAAACAGUUCAAGGAAAAUUACC
rnacentral:lncRNA from 1 species